UGUUGGAGGCGUCUUCAGCAUCGGGAUCUGGACAGUACUUAUUAGCCAGAAUCAGACAGGCGUCUGCUGACUCAAUCUAUACAGGGAACGAUGACGGGUUACAGAUAGAGAAUACACAGCAGAAACCCUCUCACCUUCAAAUAUUACAGCGUUUCAACCCUGGAUUGAUCUUCCUCAGGUCAAAUAUUACAACGUUUCAACCCUGGAUUGAUCUUCCUCAGGUCAAAUAUUACAACGUUUCAACCCCAGACUCAUCUUCCUCAGGUCAAAUAUUACAACGUUUCAACCCUGGAUUCAUCUUCCUCAGGUCAAAUAUUACAACGUUUCAACCCUGGAUUGAUCUUCCUCAGGUCAAAUAUUACAACGUUUCAACCCCAGACUCAUCUUCCUCAGGUCAAAUAUUACAACGUUUCAACCCAGGAUUCAUCUUCCUCAGGUCAAAUAUUACAACGUUUCAACCCCAGACUCAUCUUCCUCAGGUCAAAUAUUACAACGUUUCAACCCUGGAUUCAUCUUCCUCAGGUCAAAUAUUACAACGUUUCAACCCUGGAUUGAUCUUCCUCAGGUCAAAUAUUACAACGUUUCAACCCCAGACUCAUCUUCCUCAGGUCAAAUAUUACAACGUUUCAACCCUGGAUUGAUCUUCCUCAGGUCAAAUAUUACAACGUUUCAACCCCAGACUCAUCUUCCUCAGGUCAAAUAUUACAACGUUUCAACCCCAGAUUCAUCUUCCUCAGGUCAAAUAUUACAACGUUUCAACCCUGGAUUCAUCUUCCUCAGGUCAAAUAUUACAACGUUUCAACCCUGGAUUCAUC